rnacentral:rRNA from 1 species
AGAUCUGAGUCUCCAUCCUUAAGCAACUUCUAAGUAAGCCCCGUUUUCAAGGUGUGACGCCGCGGUGUGUACAACGCCCGGGAAAUAAUCACCGCGGUCUGCUGAUCCGCGAAUACUAGUGGUUCCGGUUCUGCAGGCCAGUUUCAGCCUC